rnacentral:pre_miRNA from 1 species
GCUUUCUCUCCUCCAUGCCUUGAGUGUAGGACCGUUGGCAUCUUAAUUACCCUCCCACACCCAAGGCUUGCAGAAGAGCGAGC